rnacentral:rRNA from 1 species
AUGUAUGUAUGUAAAUCAAGUAUUGACUUUCCUGCAAUCCAGCCUGAUCUCCCCGCUGGCCCCCGUGAGCGGGCUGACGUUGCCGAGGUUGAUCAUGGAGGCGGCGAAGUCGGCCGAGAAGGCGGCGGGGUUGGCGCUGUAGAGGCGCACCAGGGAGUCCACAGCCCCGUUGUUGAAGAGCUCCUGGUCGGAGCGCAGCAGCCCGGCGCCGGACAUGAGGUUCCGGUAGUAUCCGUUGUCGAACUCGUUGGGGGUGAGCGGGUCGAGCGGCGCGAGGCUGGCGUCGCCGCCGGAGGCCGGGCAGAGCUGCCGCUGCUGCGACGCGAAGGCCGGGCUCACGUUGGCGUCGCAGUAGACGUGGGUGCGGAACUGCACGCAGCGCGCCAUGCCGACCGUGUGCGCGCCCGAGAGCGCGGCCAGGUCGCGCGACGUGAGCCCCUUGGCGGCGAAGGCGGAGACGAGCGCGGCGAGGUCCAGGUCCGGGCCCGGCAGCGUCCUCGCCCCGUCCGGGUCCGGGGCCGUCGCGUCGCGCCGCCCCAGGGGCACCGCCCAGCUCGGCCCGCCCAGCUGAAUGCACGCACGCACGCACGACGAGUGUUUCAUUCAUGGCCGGCACGUUGGGGAAGAAUUGCUAUGGCGCGAGCGUGGGGUGGAGAGAGAGGGGCUGACCAGGUUGACGCUGUCGCGCGCGGCGAGGGCGAGGAUGUCGGCGCAGGAGACGAUCCCGGGGCAGGCGGCCUCGACCUGCGUCUUGAUGUUGUCGAUGACGUCGAAGCCGAAGGUGGAGCCGCCGGCGUUGGGGCCGGAGCUCUUCUCGCCGGGCGUGGUGGCCGUGUCGUCGAGCAGCAGCGAGGCGUCGCAGCCCUGGAAGAGCCAUCAUGCAAACCAAUUCAGUCAGAGGGAUCUGAUUCACACGGACACGAACGUGCUGGAGACGCGUACGUUGACGAAGCAGUCGUGGAAGAAGAGGCGGAGGAUGGCGGCGCCGGUGCGGGUGUCGUUCAGGACGGCCUGCGACAUGACCUGGCGCACGGCGCCGUGCACGGUGGGGCAGCUCGCCGAGUAGAACCCCGCGGAGAGCUGCGCGCGGGCGCCGCGCGCGAGCACCACCGACGCGGCCAGGACCAGGAGGAGGAUGGGUCUCGGCCUCGUCCUCGCCGCGGACACGGAGGGGAAGGCGGCCAUGGCUGGCUUGGCGACCACAGUCCAGAGCCACCCGAUCGGAGGAAGGUAGACCCGACCGCACUAGCGCAGACUCGGAAGCGGUGA